GACGAACGCUGGCGGCGUGCUUAACACAUGCAAGUCGAACGGUGAAGGGACCGGUUUUUGCUGGUUCUGGAUGAGUGGCGAACGGGUGAGUAACACGUGAGUAACCUGCCCCCUUCUUCUGGAUAACCGCAUGAAAGUGUGGCUAAUACGGGAUAUUCUGCGCCUGCUGCAUGGUGGGUGUGGGAAAGAUAUUGUUUCGGUGGGGGAUGGGCUCGCGGCCUAUCAGCUUGUUGGUGGGGUGAUGGCCUACCAAGGCGGUGACGGGUAGCCGGCCUGAGAGGGUGGACGGUCACACUGGGACUGAGACACGGCCCAGACUCCUACGGGAGGCAGCAGUGGGGAAUAUUGCACAAUGGGCGCAAGCCUGAUGCAGCGACGCCGCGUGAGGGAUGGAGGCCUUCGGGUUGUAAACCUCUUUCGCCAGUGAAGCAGGCCUGUCCCUUUUGUGGGUGGGUUGACGGUAGCUGGAUAAAAAGCGCCGGCUAACUA
rnacentral:rRNA from 1 species